CUGGAAGAGAAGGAGGAGAAAGAGGAGGAGGAAGGUGGAGGAAGCGAAGGAGGAGGAGGAGGAGAAAGUGGCUCUCUGUGGCCGAUGGGAUUAAAAGUAGCCAGACUCGUCCAGAAAACUGCGUCCAGGAAGGAAGUGACAGAAGACAAAUGGAAAAAGGAGAGCAGGAAGACAACACGGGGAGCGGCGGCUCCCUGCCUCUGUCCCCGACGCUGCGGAGGACGCUUGGAGGGGACGCUCGACUGCCGCGCGCUCGCUCCCCCGGGAGACUGCGAGCCAGCCAGCAGGAAAGUCCUUCUGAAGUCGGGAUCUUCCCUCUGACCAAUAGGAGCGCGACCCUAAGAGCAGCUCUAGUGACUCCCCCCCUCCCCGCUUUGGAUUCGCGGUAGCCACUUCAUUCUUGCUCCUGUCCGCGCGCGCCUCCGUUACUCACGCGUAAAAGCCACGAUCCAGGAUGUCUGCUAGUCUCGAUCCCAGUGUGCGCUUCCUGCCCUCCCAGACUGUACAAAGCUUUUGGUCUUGAGACCCGGAGAGGUAGGCUAGAAAGUGAGCCGAAAGGAUUCUCCGAUAUUAGUAAUAAAAUAAUUACAAGUA